rnacentral:rRNA from 1 species
AGCGAACGCUGGCGGCAGGCUUAACACAUGCAAGUCGAACGGGCACUUCGGUGCUAGUGGCAGACGGGUGAGUAACACGUGGGAACGUACCUUUCGGUUCGGAAUAAUUCAGGGAAACUUGGACUAAUACCGGAUACGCCCUUCGGGGGAAAGAUUUAUCGCCGAUAGAUCGGCCCGCGUCUGAUUAGCUAGUUGGUGAGGUAAUGGCUCACCAAGGCGACGAUCAGUAGCUGGUCUGAGAGGAUGAUCAGCCACAUUGGGACUGAGACACGGCCCAAACUCCUACGGGAGGCAGCAGUGGGGAAUAUUGGACAAUGGGCGCAAGCCUGAUCCAGCCAUGCCGCGUGAGUGAUGAAGGCCUUAGGGUUGUAAAGCUCUUUUGUCCGGGAAGAUAAUGACUGUACCGGAAGAAUAAGCCCCGGCUAACUUCGUGCCAGCCGCCGCCGUAACAC